rnacentral:rRNA from 1 species
UACAGAGGAGGCAAGCGUUGUUCGGAAUUACUGGGCGUAAAGGGCGCGUAGGCGGCCUUCUAAGUCGAACGUGAAAUCCCCGGGCUCAACCCGGGAACUGCGUCCGAUACUGGAAGGCUUGAAUCCGGGAGAGGGAUGUGGAAUUCCAGGUGUAGCGGUGAAAUGCGUAGAUAUCUGGAGGAACACCGGUGGCGAAGGCGACAUCCUGGACCGGUAUUGACGCUGAGGCGCGAAAGCCAGGGGAGCAAAGCGGG